GGAAGUAAAGUCGUAACAAGGUUUCCGUAGGUGAACCUGCAGAAGGAUCAUUCGCAAUAAGUGUUUUAUGGCACUUUUUAAAAUCCAUACCCACCUUGUGUGCAAUGUUGGGUCGUCCAUCAAGUAGUUUACGCUACAGCGAGGGAUGGCUUUUAACUAAACUCUUAUUCUCAUAACGAAUCUGUCUGAUAACAUAUUUUCGAAUUUACUUAAUUCAGAUAAAUACAACUUUCAACAACGGAUCUCUUGGCUCUC
rnacentral:misc_RNA from 1 species